rnacentral:rRNA from 1 species
CCUACGGGUGUCAGCAGUGGGGGAUAUUGCACAAUGGGGGGAACCCUGAUGCAGCGACGCCGCGUGGGUGAAGAAGCGCUUCGGCGUGUAAAGCUCUGUCAGCAGGGAAGAAAAUGACGGUACUUGAAGAAGAAGCCCCGGCAAACUACGUGCCAGCAGCCGCGGUAAUACGUAGGGGGCAAGCGUGAUCCGGAGUUACUGGGUGUAAAGGGGGCGCAGACGGCGAUGCAAGCCAGGAGUGAAAGCCCGGGGCCCAACCCCGGGACGGCUGUUGAAACUGGGUGGCUGGAGUGCGGCAGAGGCAGGCGGAAGUCCUGGUGUAGCGGUGAAAUGCGUAGAUAUCAGGAGGAACACCGGUGGCGAAGGCGGCCUGCUGGACAGCAACUGACGUUGAGGCGCGAAAGCGUGGGGAGCAAACAGGAUUAGAUACCCGUGUAGUC